rnacentral:misc_RNA from 1 species
GAUAAACUCAUUGAAAAUGAAAAUGACCAAUACAAUGUACACCCAUGCAACUACAAGACAAACUUCCAACCCAGACACUUAUUGCUAAACUCCAUCAUCAAACAAUAGUCUCUUUCGAGGCCCACACAAUAUCCUUCAAUGCCGGCCGGAGCUCAUUGCAGCAGAACCGCCGGUACUCCAUCGUAUCGCCGGCAUUCUUCUUCACAUCCACCACCAGCACCGACGACGCCACCUCGAAUAUCUCCGCCUCCACCGCCAGCCUCCCCUUCCUCCCAUUCUCCUCCCCCUCCAUCCUCACUCCCCCGUUCCCACUCUUCGUCACCCGGUACCUCCCCUCUGUCCUCGCCGCCAUCCCCUCCAACCUCGAUAUCACCCCGCUCGCCGGCUCCAUCGUCGCAAACCUCAUCCCCUCCCUCACCCCCUCAUCUUUCCCCGACUCGAACAACGGUGACAAAUCAAAACCCUCAGACAGUGAAAUCAGAUGAAACGCAUUCAGCUUCUGCGGCUGAUCCUUCCCCCACUUCUCCUCCACCGCAGCCGGGACCGGGACCGGGACCGGGGCCGGUAACGACGACGGCGACUUCUUGAACCAUGAAGACUGAACAAUUUUAGCCACCGUGAUUCUCGUAUUGGGAUUAGGGUCUAGCAGCUUGGUGAUGAGCCUGCGGACAUCAGAGGAGAACCAAGGAGGGCACCUGAAAUCCCCGCGGUGGAUCUUUUUAUACAUCGCCACCAAAUUGUCAUCCGCGAAAGGGAGGAAUCCAGCUAUAAGUACAUAGAGGAUGACACCGCACGACCAGAGGUCGGCCUUCGCCCCGUCGUACCCCCUCCGGUCGACGACCUCCGGCGCAACAUACGCCGGCGUGCCGCAGGCUGUGUGCAGGAGGCCGUCGGUGCGGACGUGCUCAGCUAUAGCACUCAGUCCAAAGUCAGCAAUCUUGAGGUCGCCGGCUUCAUUAAGGAGCAAGUUCUCCGGCUUGAGAUCGCGGUGGUAGACGCCGCGCGAGUGGCAGAAAUCGACAGCUGAGAUUAGCUGCCGGAAGUAGUGGCGGGCGUCGUCCUCGCGGAGGCGUCCGGCGCGGGCGACCCGGGAGAAGAGCUCGCCGCCGCGGACGAGCUCCAUGGCGAAGUAGAUCUUGGAUUUUGUUGCCAUUACUUCGUGGAGUUCGACGAUGUUGGGGUGGGACACCAUCUUCAUGACGGAGAUCUCGCGCUUGACUUGCUCCAUCAUGCCGACGCGGAUGACUUUUUCUUUGGCGACGGCUUUGAUGGCGACGCUGUCGCCGGUGCGGAGGUUGCGGGCCAUGUAGACCUUGGCGAAGGUGCCGUGGCCGAGGACGCGGCCGAGCUCGUAGCGGCCGUGGAGGACGCUGCGGCCUUCGGAAGAGGGGGCGGGGGCUGAGAUUUCUUCCAUGGAGGAGGUGUUCGAAGGUGGGAGCGAAUGGGGGCGGAGGGCGGAGGGACUACCCGUCUUCGACGUGCUUGCGGUGGGAGGUGCGGCUGGCGCGCAUGCGGCGUUUUCCGGCGAGGUUAGGACUCAAUUUUCUCAUAUCUCUGCAUUCCCUGAGGCGGCGCUGGAGAUGGGAGGAGGCGGCGGGCGCCGGAGAUAAGGUGAGAGGAGGAUGAGAUAUUUUUGAGAGAGGAG